GAGUUUGAUCGUGGCUCAGAACGAACGCUGGCGGCGUGGAUAAGACAUGCAAGUCGAACGGGAGAAUUGCUAGCUUGCUAAUAAUUCUCUAGUGGCGCACGGGUGAGUAACACGUGAGUAACCUGCCCCCGAGAGCGGGAUAGCCCUGGGAAACUGGGAUUAAUACCGCAUAGUAUCGAAAGAUUAAAGCAGCAAUGCGCUUGGGGAUGGGCUCGCGGCCUAUUAGUUAGUUGGUGAGGUAACGGCUCACCAAGGCGAUGACGGGUAGCCGGUCUGAGAGGAUGUCCGGCCACACUGGAACUGAAACACGGUCCAGACACCUACGGGUGGCAGCAGUCGAGAAUCAUUCACAAUGGGGGAAACCCUGAUGGUGCGACGCCGCGUGGGGGAAUGAAGGUCUUCGGAUUGUAAACCCCUGUCAUGUGGGAGCAAAAUUAAAAAGAUAGUACCACAAGAGGAAGAGACGGCUAACUCUGUGCCAGCAGCCGCCGUAAC
rnacentral:rRNA from 1 species